CAGCCGUAAACUAUGCGCGUUAGGUGUACUGGUGACCACGAGUCACCGGGGUGCCGAAGGGAAACCGUGAAACGUGCCGCCUGGGAAGUACGGUCGCAAGGCUGAAACUUAAAGGAUUGGCGGGGGAGCACCACAACGGGUGGAGCCUGCGGUUUAAUUGGACUCAACGCCGGGAAGCUCACCGGAUAAGACAGCGGAAUGAUUGCCGGGCUGAAGACUCUGCAUGACUAGCUGAGAGGAGGUGCAUGGCGUAGACGUCU
rnacentral:rRNA from 1 species